CUUGUAUGGGUAUAUAUUGUUUUCCAGAUGACAGUUACAGAAAUAUUUGACAAGAUUUGUCAAAAUUAUCGUCCAAAGAACAAGAGAUAGUAUGAGGCAAAGGAAGGAAAGAAUGUGGUAGUAUUUCAAUUAGAAUGGGGAAUGAAAGUUCUGCAGAAAAACUUUCAUAAGGUUGGGUGGAAAAGUGGCAAGCUAGAGACAGAUUGGAUUGGACCAUACAGGGUAAAAAAAAUGGACCAGAAGCAGAAUGGAAGGGAAAGAGCAUAAAACCAAGGUGCCUUAGUUAUAUUCACUUGAAACCAUACACAGAAGGGGUUUGGAAAACACCAUGACCAAGCCAAAGUGUUUUUUUUUUUUUUUAGAUUUUUAGGUUUUAAAUGGUCAUGACCACUCUCCUAUGUGAUUUAGAGAUUUUAUUUUUGUCCGCCUGUAGCUUUAAAUUUAUAUCAGAAAAUUCAGAUAUUACUUUUGCCUUGUAAGCAUGCAAUGUUAAAAACUGUGUUAUAGGUCCAACACAGUUGUCUCCAACUUUUAU